rnacentral:rRNA from 1 species
AUUGAACGCUGGCGGCAUGCUUUACACAUGCAAGUCGAACGGUAACAGGCCGCAAGGUGCUGACGAGUGGCGAACGGGUGAGUAAUGCAUCGGAACGUGCCCAGUCGUGGGGGAUAACUACUCGAAAGAGUAGCUAAUACCGCAUACGAUCUAUGGAUGAAAGCGGGGGACCGUAAGGCCUCGCGCGAUUGGAGCGGCCGAUGUCAGAUUAGGUAGUUGGUGGGGUAAAGGCUCACCAAGCCAACGAUCUGUAGCUGGUCUGAGAGGACGACCAGCCACACUGGGACUGAGACACGGCCCAGACUCCUACGGGAGGCAGCAGUGGGGAAUUUUGGACAAUGGGCGCAAGCCUGAUCCAGCAAUGCCGCGUGCAGGAAGAAGGCCUUCGGGUUGUAAACUGCUUUUGUACGGAACGAAACGGCUCUGGUUAAUACCCGGGGCUAAUGACGGUACCGUAAGAAUAAGCACCGGCGAACUACGU